UGAGAGAGAAAUUAUUUUCUUCCUCUUUAUUAAAGCUGGUAGAGACUGUAUCUCUGCAUAUUUAUGCAAAUCACAGUUUGUACAAUUGGAGCAUAAGAAAAAUCAAUGGCUGGUCUGUGAAGAUGAGAUAGAUGGGGAGACAAGGAAGUCAUCACCAGCAGGAGGACCAAUAUCCAAAAUGUGAGAAGUGAAGUCCAAAAAGGUGCCAAAGUCAAGAAUAGCAGAUAUGAAAGUUGAAGUAAAAAGCCAAGAGUUGGG